rnacentral:tRNA from 2 species
GGAGAAGUACUCAAGUUGGCCGAAGAGGUGCCCCUGCUAAGGGUAUAGGUCGGGAAACCGGCGCGAGGGUUCGAAUCCCUCCUUCUCCGCUA